rnacentral:tRNA from 1 species
GAGAGAGUGGCCGAGUGGUCACUGUAAAUCUGUUGAAUUUUUUCUACGUAGGUUCGAAUCCUGCCUCUCCCA